UGGUGGGUUGCCUUGUCAGGUUGAUUCCGGUAACGAACGAGACCUCAGCCUGCUAAAUAGUUACGUUCGCUUUUUGCGGAUAGUUGACUUCUUAGAGGGACUAUUGGCGUUUAGUCAAUGGAAGUAUGAGGCAAUAACA
rnacentral:rRNA from 1 species